AAAAAAAAAUUGAAAAACAAAAUAUUUUUAUUGCUGAAAAAUCAAAUUAAUUAAUUACAUAUAAAACAUAAAUAUUUAUAUAAUCAAAUAAAAAAAAUACAAAAUACAUCUUCACGUUCUUUAUAAUGGAUCAGGAUAUAUGUUCCCUCUUCUCCAAUAUUCCUCAAAAUCGCCAUGAACGAACUAUAACCUUGACAUAUAUGAGUUGAUGGGGAAGUAAGAAACUACAAUAGGAGCACUUGAAGAUGACUUUGAUUUGCUUUUGGGUUUCUGUACAUUAGAUCCUUUGAUGUUGGAUACUUCUGCAUCAUCUGAAACCCUAGAAGAUGAAGACGAUGAAGGAACAAAGCAACUGAACAUGGCUGAGAAAUUAACCAUUUUUCCUUCUGAUUUCUUCUUGUUGUGGAGUUGUAUUACUAUAUGUUGUGAUAUUGAUGAGGAUCAAAGUGAAAAAACCAGGCUAUUUAUAGAUGAAGAAGAGAAGUCGAAGUUGGUAUAUAAUCUUCAUGAGCAAGGAAAGGAAUUCCAAGUUUCCAGGAGAAUUCUCCUACCUUAAUUUGACCAAAACAAAUGAACCACAUGACUAUAAUAUAAUCAGGAAGUUUCCACUUGACUAGUUAAGAAAAGUUUACACUCUCAGAACGCUUUUAAGGUUAAUCAAAACUCUAGCCAGCCGCCACACACACAGGAAAAAGUUAUAUGCUGGACCCGUGUUCGGCAACCGCUAUUAAAAUAGUUUGUAGCGUUUUUGAUACUUUCUUAGUAAUACAGUAGAUGAACUAGCUUUUAGAGUUUACUGUGACAGCAUUUUAUGAAAACAUUAACUCAUUUAAUAUUUAGUUUUAGCAUUUCAUAAAAAACUAUUAAAAUAACGACCAACUAAACGUUAUAAAAUAAUUAAUAACUAUCAAAACAACUAAUUUCACAGAACAUGAUUCAUUUACACAACAAAGUCAAUUAUAAAUUUUUUUUUUUGAUGUAAGAAAGUACUUCUGACUAUUAAUUAAAAAAAAAAAAAAUAGGUAAAACUAACUUAGUGUAUGGACAAUCUGGUGCAUCGAGUGUGGUAAGUCUUAUAUAUCUUUAUUUUAUACAUUAUAUAUUUUUUAGAAUGCAAAAAUUUUUAAAAGGUAUUAAUACUUCAAGCAAUGAAAGGCCAUUUGUUGCUUUGGACUAAUUAUCACAAUCUAGUCAAUUUGUUGAUCAAUAUUUUAAUGGGAGAUUACCUAAACCACCGACUUUUGUAAAUUUUGUUUUAUUUCAAAUCAAAUUGCAUACCAGUCAAAUUAACAAUAUUAAAAUAAAAAUUAUAUACACAUCAUCUAGUUAACUAACAAUUAAUUAAUUAAUUAAAGGGAGAAAAUUAGAUUAUAAAUCAAGAGGAAGAUGAAAUCUGAGUUUCAUAAACCUGCCAAGUUCUCAAUUUUUAGUUUUUUUUUUAUAUUUUUUUUCUUUUUAUCAAACUCAAAACACAAUACGACAAACAACAACAACUUUCCAAUAUAAAAAAUUCAAGGAAAAAACAUUUAAUAGAAUAAAAUAAUUCAAAAUUACUAAUUCAUCGAAAUUGCAGUGAUCAAGUACACUCAAGUUAAUGAAAUUAUUCCCAACUCUUUGAAUACCUACUACACAAGCAGGAAAAAUAUAUUACUACAGUAUCGACGGACACGAAUUAUCUGGAAAAUGAGGAACAAAAAUUGGAGCUUCUGAUUUGCUCUUCAACUUCUCAGGCUUGUUACACCCUUUUCCAUCUGACAGAUUUUCAUCGAAGACCUUUGAAUUAGCAACAAUGGCAGAGCAGAAAAUUGCUGCAAAAGAAGAAAAAAUUGCUGAAAAGUAACCCAUUGUUUUUGUUUUCAUUGCUUUCUCUUAAUCAGCUAUUAAGAGGCCUGUUUAUAAUGAGAUUUUAGGGUUAAUUGUGUUGGUAAUUAAGGACUUGCCAAUUUGUUGUAAGAAAAUAAGAUUUGUAUUGACCAUUAGCUUGCAAGGGAAGAUUUUUUUUUUAAUUACUAGUAAGCAAUUAAAGUGACUUAAAUAUAUUUAUAUAUUUGGAAACGGUAAAAACUUGUCUAUUUUCGGUGUAUGAGAAUUGAUGAUAACACUUGCUUGCACUUAGUUUAUAAGAUCACCUAUACAUUCAAAUAUUGUUAUUGUUUUAUCUUUUAUUUUUCUAAUAAUUAGUCAUGAACGCUCUAGUGUAAGUAAAAAAUUAUUUUCAUUAUGGGUGGAGGCCAUGAAUCAGGUAUAAAUGAGUCCUUUUUGAAAAUUGAUAUAUAAAAUUAAGGUGGAAAUAAUUUUUAACAAAUUUCUAUUUCUAUCCGUUUAUGGCCAUAGACCGAAUCUAAACAGAUCUAAUACUAGUGUAUCUUCCCGUCUAUUCAUGAAUAUAUAUUGGUAGGAUUACGAGAUAUCCUUCCAAUAUGUGAAGACUAAUCCCCUUCUACCUAAAUUUUUAGUCUUCUCAAGGUCCAAUAAUUAUUUUUUUGGGACGUUGAACUUGUAAUUUUUUUUUGCUAAUAGUGGAAGAAGUUUGAAAUUAUGGCAAGAAUUGGAGCACAAAAAAAAAUAAUAAUAAAAGGAAAAUGAGGAACAAGAAUUGGAGAUUUUGAUUUGCUCAUCAAUUUCGCAGACUUGUUAGACCUUUUUGCAUCUGAAAACUGCUUUUCGUCGAAGACCUUUGAAUUAGCAAAAAUGGUGGAGCAGAAAAUUGCUGAAAAGCAUCCCAUUGUUUUCUGUUUCUAUUAAUUUCUCCUGAUUACCUACAAGAGACCUAUUUAUAGUGGGACUUUAGGUUAAUUAGGUUAAUGGUGUUUUAGGUAAAGAGUUGCCAAUUUGCAGGGAGACUUUUUUUUGUUACAAAGUAAUUAGCAUCAUUUCAAAUUUAAAUAUCUCAGACUCUAGAUAUCAGCAUCCUCUCUAAAACGGUAAAACUCUCCAAUUUAUAAAUUCUUUUUAUAGCUAAAUAAAUUUAUUUUAUUAUAAAUUACCAAAAAAUAUAAUUUUAUUAAUUGAUUAGAAACAGCGUCCGUAUUUUGGCUUAUCAACCGUAUUGUCCUUUUAUUUAUGAUAUAUAAAAUUAAUCUCAUUUUGAGGUUUAUAGUUACCUACUCUGAAUGAUGGCAAGAUAUUUAUUUGUGCGAUAAUUGAGAAACAGGAAAUUUUACCUACUCUAAAUGAUGGCAAGAUAUUAUUUUUUUGUUCUAUGGACACAAUCUAAUUAGCUAGAAAGAUACUUUCUCCUAUCAUUUUCCGACUCUCCAGUCAAGCAAGAAAUUUAUACUGUCUUAGUUAGUAGUUCAUUGAAAAAGGCCAAAAGAAAGAAGGUCAAUAGCCACCACUUUCAAAUCAAUUCUUCUUUUUUCUUUUUUCUUUUUUUUCUUUUUUUUCUUUUGCUGUAAAUGAGGGAGAUAAUUGAGGAGAAAAAAAAAUUGAAAAACAAAAUAUUUUUAUUGCUGAAAAAUCAAAUUAAUUAAUUGGAUAUAAAACAUAAAUAUGUAUAAUCAAAUAAAAAAAAUACAAAAUACAUCUUCAUGUUCUUUAUAAUGGAUCAGGAUAUAUGUUCACUCUUCUCCAAUAUUCCUCAAAAUCGCCAUGAACGAACUAUAACCUUGACAUAUAUGAGUUGAUGGGGAAGUAAGAAACUACAAUAGGAGCACUUGAAGAUGACUUUGAUUUGCUUUUGGGUUUCUGUACAAUAGAUCCUCUGAUGUUGAUUUGAUGUUGGAUACUUCUGCAUCAUCUGAAACCCUAGAAGAUGAAGACGAUGAAGGAACAAAGCAACUGAACAUGGCUGAGAAAUUAACCAUUUUUCCUUCUGAUUUCUUCUUGUUGUGGAGUCGUAUUACAAUAUGUUGUGAUAUUGAUGAGGAUCAAAGUGAAAAAACCAGGCUAUUUAUAGAUGAAGAAGAGAAGUCGAAGUUGGUAUAUAGUCUUCAUGUGCAAGGAAAGGAAUUCCAAGUUUCCAGGAGAAUUCUCCUACCUUAAUUUGACCAAAACAAAUGAACCACAUGACUAUAAUAUAAGCAGGAAGUUUCCACUUGACUAGUUGAGAAAAGUCAACACUCUCAGAACGCUUUUAAG
rnacentral:lncRNA from 1 species